rnacentral:rRNA from 1 species
UACGGGGGGGGCUAGCGUUGUUCGGAAUUACUGGGCGUAAAGCGCGCGUAGGCGGCUUAGCAAGUUAGAGGUGAAAGCCCGAAGCUCAACUUCGGAAUUGCCUUUAAAACUGCAAAGCUAGAAUCAUGGAGAGGUGAGUGGAAUUCCGAGUGUAGAGGUGAAAUUCGUAGAUAUUCGGAAGAACACCAGUGGCGAAGGCGACUCACUGGACAUGUAUUGACGCUGAGGUGCGAAAGCGUGGGGAGCAAACAGG